rnacentral:rRNA from 1 species
GAUGAACGCUGGCGGCGUGCCUAAUACAUGCAAGUCGAGCGAACAGACGAGGAGCUUGCUCCUCUGACGUUAGCGGCGGACGGGUGAGUAACACGUGGAUAACCUACCUAUAAGACUGGGAUAACUUCGGGAAACCGGAGCUAAUACCGGAUAAUAUAUUGAACCGCAUGGUUCAAUAGUGAAAGACGGUUUUGCUGUCACUUAUAGAUGGAUCCGCGCCGCAUUAGCUAGUUGGUAAGGUAACGGCUUACCAAGGCAACGAUGCGUAGCCGACCUGAGAGGGUGAUCGGCCACACUGGAACUGAGACACGGUCCAGACUCCUACGGGAGGCAGCAGUAGGGAAUCUUCCGCAAUGGGCGAAAGCCUGACGGAGCAACGCCGCGUGAGUGAUGAAGGUCUUCGGAUCGUAAAACUCGGUUAUUAGGGAAGAACAAAUGUGUAAGUAACUAUGCACGUCUUGACGGUACCUAAUCAGAAAGCCACGGCUAACUACGUGC